rnacentral:rRNA from 1 species
AGAGUUUGAUCAUGGCUCAGAAUCAACGCUGGCGGCGCGCCUAACACAUGCAAGUCGAACGAGAAAGCAGGAGCAAUCUUGUGAGUAAAGUGGCGUACGGGUGAGUAACACGUGGAUUAUCUACCCUCUUGUGGGGGAUAACCCUGGGAAACCGGGGCUAAUACCGCAUAAGCUCGAGAGAGGAAAGCAGCAAUGCGCAGGAGGAGGAGUCCGCGGCCGAUUAGCUAGUUGGUAGGGUAAAAGCCUACCAAGGCUACGAUCGGUAGCCGGCCUGAGAGGGCACACGGCCACACUGGCACUGAAACACGGGCCAGACUCCUACGGGAGGCAGCAGUGGGGAAUCUUGCACAAUGGGGGCAACCCUGAUGCAGCGACGCCGCGUGAGCGAUGAAGCCCUUCGGGGUGUAAAGCUCUUUCGGCAGGGAAGAUUAUGACGGUACCUGCAGAAGCAGCUGCGGCUAACUACGUGCCAGCAGCCGCGGUAAUACGUAGGCAGCAAGCGUUGUUCGGAGUUACUGGGCGUAAAGGGUGUGUAGGCGGUUCUCUAAGUCUGGUGUGAAAUCUCCCGGCUCAACUGGGAGGGUGCGCCGAAAACUGGAGGACUAGAGUGCGGGAUGGGAGAGUGGAAUUCCUGGUGUAGCGGUGAAAUGCGUAGAUAUCAGGAGGAACACCUGUGGUGUAGACGGCUCUCUGGACCGCAACUGACGCUGAGACACGAAAGCGUGGGUAGCAAACAGGAUUAGAUACCCCAGUAGUCC